rnacentral:rRNA from 1 species
AGUGAACGCUGGCGGUAGGCCUAACACAUGCAAGUCGAACGGCAGCACAGUAAGAGCUUGCUCUUACGGGUGGCGAGUGGCGGACGGGUGAGGAAUACAUCGGAAUCUACUUUUUCGUGGGGGAUAACGUAGGGAAACUUACGCUAAUACCGCAUACGACCUACGGGUGAAAGCAGGGGAUCUUCGGACCUUGCGCGAUUGAAUGAGCCGAUGUCGGAUUAGCUAGUUGGCGGGGUAAAGGCCCACCAAGGCGACGACCCGUAGCUGGUCUGAGAGGAUGAUCGGCCACACUGGAACUGUGACACGGUCCAGACUCCUACGGGAGGCAGCAGUGGGGAAUAUUGGACAAUGGGCGCAAGCCUGAUCCAGCCAUACCGCGUGGGUGAAGAAGGCCUUCGGGUUGUAAAGCCCUUUUGUUGGGAAAGAAAAGCAGCAGGUUAAUACCCCGCUGUUCUGACGGUACCCAAAGAAUAAGCACCGGCUAACUUCGUG